GAGAGACAUGGAAAGGGUGAAAGAGCUAGAGGAAGUUAUGGGAUAUGGGAGGAUCGGUAAAGAAAAUCUGAAUCUUUUGGAUAUUUUAUUUGCCGAUCCCACCCAUUCCUACUAUUUCCUUUUGUUCCUCUCUUUCCACUCUCCUCU
rnacentral:pre_miRNA from 1 species